rnacentral:rRNA from 1 species
ACCAGACUCCUACGGGAGGCAGCAGUGGGGAAUAUUGCACAAUGGGGGAAACCCUGAUGCAGCGACGCCGCGUGAGCGAAGAAGUAUUUCGGUAUGUAAAGCUCUAUCAGCAGGGAAGAAAAUGACGGUACCUGACUAAGAAGCCCCGGCUAACUACGUGCCAGCAGCCGCGGUAAUACGUAGGGGGCAAGCGUUAUCCGGAUUUACUGGGUGUAAAGGGAGCGUAGACGGCAUGGCAAGUCAGAUGUGAAAGCCCGGGGCUCAACCCCGGGACUGCAUUUGAAACUGUCAGGCUGGAGUGCAGGAGAGGUAAGUGGAAUUCCUAGUGUAGCGGUGAAAUGCGUAGAUAUUAGGAGGAACACCAGUGGCGAAGGCGGCCUACUGGGCACUAACUGACGCUGAGGCUCGAAAGCAUGGGUAGCAAACAGGAUUAGAUACCCCAGUA